GGGUUGUGAGGUUAAGCGACUAAGCGUACACGGUGGAUGCCUAGGCAAUCAGAGGCGAUGAAGGACGUGCUAAUCUGCGAUAAGCGUCGGUAAGGUGAUAUGAACCGUUACAACCGACGAUUUCCGAAUGGGGAAACCCAGUGCAAUUCGUUGCACUAUCGUUUGAUGAAUACAUAGUCAAACGAAGCGAACCGGGGGAACUGAAACAUCUCAGUACCCCGAGGAAA
rnacentral:rRNA from 1 species